CCUACGGGUGGCAGCAGUGGGGAAUAUUGGACAAUGGGCGAAAGCCUGAUCCAGCCAUGCCGCGUGUGUGAAGAAGGCCUUCGGGUUGUAAAGCACUUUCAGUGGGGAAGAAAGCCUUGGGGCUAAUACCCUCGAGGAAGGACAUCACCCACAGAAGAAGCACCGGCUAACUCCGUGCCAGCAGCCGCGGUAAUACGGAGGGUGCGAGCGUUAAUCGGAAUUACUGGGCGUAAAGCGCGCGUAGGCGGUCUGAUAAGCCGGUUGUGAAAGCCCCGGGCUCAACCUGGGAACGGCAUCCGGAACUGUCAGGCUAGAGUGCAGGAGAGGAAGGUAGAAUUCCCGGUGUAGCGGUGAAAUGCGUAGAGAUCGGGAGGAAUACCAGUGGCGAAGGCGGCCUUCUGGACUGACACUGACGCUGAGGUGCGAAAGCGUGGGUAGCAAAUAGGAUUAGAUACCCCUGUAGUC
rnacentral:rRNA from 1 species